CACACACACACACACACACACACACACACACACACACACACACACACACACACACACACACACACACACACACACAUUUAAAUCAUCCUUCAUUUUUUCCUUAUAAUAAAUUUGCAUAUAUUUAUUUUUUUGAUAAAUCUAAGAACACAUUUUUGAGAUACUGCUUGAUUUUUUUCCUUAUUUUCUCUUUCUUUUCUUUCUUUUCCUUGUCAAAUUCCUACAAUGGGUAAUUUCCUUGCUGUCAAAUUUCCAGGUUCUUGUCAGGGAACGUUUGAGUUGACAAGAUCACUCGGCAGGCUUUCAGUGAUGAGGCUGUUCUUGGUUGGUAUUAUAGACUCUUGCUUCUCAUAUCAGCUGUUUCUAAAGGUCAAGAGAGGGUCAGUCUGCUUCUAAUGAGUGUUUCUUUAGGUUCAUGGUACAGAGGAAGGGUCACACUACCACCAGGGUCAUGAAACUACCCCUGGAAAUGCCCACAACUCCUACGAAAGCCUUGUCAUAUGUGUGUUUCUUUAGGCUCAUGGUACAGAGGAAGGGUCACACUACCACCAGGGUCAUGAAACUACCCCUGGAAAUGCCCACAACUCCUACGAAAGCCUUGUCAUAUGUGUGUUUCUUUAGGUUCAUGGUACAGAGGAAGGGUCACACUACCACCAGGGUCAUGAAACUACCCCUGGAAAUGCCCACAACUCCCAUGAAAGCCUUGUCAAAUAUGUUCUUUUAGGUUCAUGGUACAGAGGAAGGGUCACACUACCACCAGGGUCAUGAAACUACCCCUGGAAAUGCCCACAACUCCCAUGAAAGCCUUGUCAAAUAUGUUCUUUUAGGUUCAUGGUACAGAGGAAGGGUCACACUACCACCAGGGUCAUAAAACUACCCCUGGAAAUGCCCACAACUCCCAUGAAAGCCUUGUCAAAUAUGUUCCUUUAGGUUCAUGGUACAGAGGAAGGGUCACACUACCACCAGGGUCAUAAAACUACCCCUGGAAAUGCCCACAACUCCCAUGAAAGCCUUGUCAAAUAUGUUCCUUUAGGUUCAUGGUACAGAGGAAGGGUCACACUACCACCAGGGUCAUGAAACUACCCCUGGAAAUGCCCACAACUCCCAUGAAAGCCUUGUCAAAUAUGUUCCUUUAGGUUCAUGGUACAGAGGAAGGGUCACACUACCACCAGGGUCAUGAAACUACCCCUGGAAAUGCCCACAACUCCCAUGAAAGCCUUGCCAAAUAUGUUCCUUUAGGUUCAUGGUACAGAGGAAGGGUCACACUACCACCAGGGUCAUGAAACUACCCCUGGAAAUGCUCACAACUCCCAUGAAAGCCUUGUCAAAUAUGUUCCUUUAGGCUCAUGGUACAGAGGAAGGGUCACACUUAUCAGGACCCAUCAAGAAAGACUAUCAAAGCCAUAGGGGGAUAGAUAGAUAGAUAGAUUCUUAAGCACCUCAUUUCAAGUGCCUGUAUUCCUUGUGUGUCUAUGGCUUUUAAUGUCCGUGUUUCCGAAGUGUUUAUUGCAAUUGUCAGGAUAAGUGAGCCAUACAGGUUUGUUUUUAAUCUUGUGUUUGUGUCGCUCCUGGUCAGCACUCCUGGCCUCGGUCUACCAAAGGCUGCCGAGGCUGGUGCUGGCCGCCUCUUGACGUCCUCUGUUGUGCGCGCCACCACGCUGCCCAGGGAAACACAAUGAUGGAUGUUGUCUAUUUCCUGGCCUUCUGUUUCAAUACGUUCUUGUUCCAGUAUCAUGAUCUUACACUUGAUACUGUUUAGCUUCAUGCCACAUAUCUCUCUCUCUCUCUCUCUCUCUCUCUCUCUCUCUCUCUCUCUCUCUCUCUCUCUCUCUCUAAGCCCCUCACAGCACAGUCCUUGCAUAACAAUGGUAUCAAAUCACUUCCUUUGGACAAAUGAACCAAAACAGAACUUGAUGACCUCUGUAGGGCUUGGCUGGGGCACCUUUCCUUGCCUUCCUUGAGUGUCUACAGCUGUCCUUGCCUUCCUUGAGUGUCCUACAGCUGUCCUUGCCUUCCUUGAGUGUCCUACAGCUGUCCUUGCCUUCCUUGAGUGUCUACAGCUGUCCUUGCCUUCCUUGAGUGUCCUACAGCUGUCCUUCCCUUCCUUGAGUGUCUACAGCUUUCCUUGCCUUCCUUGAGUGUCCUACAGCUUUCCUUGCCUUCCUUGAGUGUCCUACAGCUUUCCUACCCUUCCUUGAGUGUCCUACAGCUUUCCUUGCCUUCCUUGAGAGUCCUACAGCUUUCCUUGCCUUCCUUGUGUGUCUACAGCUGUCCUUGCCUUCCUUGAGUGUCCUACAGCUUUCCUACCCUUCCUUGAGUGUCCUACAGCUGUCCUUGCCUUCCUUGAGUGUCUACAGCUGUCCUUCCCUUCCUUGAGUGUCCUACAGCCUUCCUUGCCUUCCUUGAGUGUCUACAGCUGUCCUUCCCCCUGUACACAGCUGCAAGGUGUGGACAGCUGUGUGUGCUGGGUGCUGGCUGGGCUGAGGCUCCUGAUCACAAUGACGAUGAUACUCCAAAUGUAGAUUCCUUUUUUUCUUUAUUAUUUAGAGGAAAGGAAAAGAAUAGAGAAGAAUAGAAGGCAAGUCACAACGCUUCACCUGUUGAUAUUUCUCUUUUUUAUUAUCUCUCUCUCUCUCUCUCUCUCUCUCUCUCUCUCUCUCUCUCUCUCUCUCUCUCUCUCUCUCUCUCUCUCUCUCCCCUCCAGUUUAUAAUGCCAGAAAUUGUGUCAUUAUUUUGUGAACUUGGAUAACUAAUGUUCAUUCCUAUGUUCAAAUAUGUUCUAGCUCCUUUCCAUAAGACAAAAUCCUGCUUCUAUAUAAAUGAAUCCUAUCUGAUACUACUAAUUAAAACAACCUAAUGAAUUUAAAUGAUCAAUGUUGCCAAAUAAUAACGAAUGACUUAUAUUCUGGUAUUAGUCAUUUGUAGUGUUGCCAUGGUCUGUGUUCAAUUGUAAUGUGUUGCCAUGGGUCUGUGUUCAAUUGUAGUGUGUUGCCAUGGGUCUGUGUUCAUUUGUAAUGUGUUGCCAUGGGUCUGUGUUCAUUUGUAGUGUGUUGCCAUGGGUCUGUGUUCAAUUGUAGUGUGUUGCCAUGGGUCUGUGUUCAAUUGUAGUGUGUUGCCAUGGGUCUGUGUUCAAUUGUCGUGUGUUGCCAUGGGUCUGUGUUCAAUUGUAGUGUGUUGCCAUGGGUCUGUGUUCAAUUGUAGUGUGUUGCCAUGGGUCUGUGUUCAAUUGUAAUGUGUUGCCAUGGGUCUGUGUUCAAUUGUAAUGUGUUGCCAUGGGUCUGUGUUCAAUUGUAAUGUGUUGCCAUGGGUCUGUGUUCAAUUGUAAUGUGUUGCCAUGGGUCUGUGUUCAAUUGUAAUGUGUUGCCAUGGGUCUGUGUUCAAUUGUAAUGUGUUGCCAUGGUCUGUGUUCAAUUGUAGUGUGUUGCCAUGGGUCUGUGUUCAAUUGUAGUGUGUUGCCAUGGGUCUGUGUUCAAUUGUAGUGUGUUGCCAUGGGUCUGUGUUCAAUUGUAGUGUGUUGCCAUGGGUCUGUGUUCAAUUGUAGUGUGUUGCCAUGGGUCUGUGUUCAAUUGUAGUGUGUUGCCAUGGGUCUGUGUUCAAUUGUAGUGUGUUGCCAUGGGUCUGUGUUCAAUUGUAAUGUGUUGCCAUGGUCUGUGUUCAAUUGUAGUGCGUUGCCAUGGGUCUGUGUUCAAUUGUAAUGUGUUGCCAUGGUCUGUGUUCAAUUGUAAUGUGUUGCCAUGGGUCUGUGUUCAAUUGUAGUGUGUUGCCAUGGUCUGUGUUCAAUUGUAAUGUGUUGCCAUGGUCUGUGUUCAAUUGUAAUGUGUUGCCAUGGUCUGUGUUCAAUUGUAAUGUGUUGCCAUGGGUCUGUGUUCAAUUGUAGUGUGUUGCCAUGGUCUGUGUUCAAUUGUAGUGUGUUGCCAUGGUCUGUGUUCAAUUGUAAUGUGUUGCCAUGGGUCUGUGUUCAAUUGUAGUGUGUUGCCAUGGUCUGUGUUCAAUUGUAAUGUGUUGCCAUGGGUCUGUGUUCAAUUGUAGUGUGUUGCCAUGGUCUGUGUUCAAUUGUAAUGUGUUGCCAUGGGUCUGUGUUCAAUUGUAGUGUGUUGCCAUGGUCUGUGUUCAAUUGUAAUGUGUUGCCAUGGGUCUGUGUUCAAUUGUAGUGUUGCCAUGGGUCUGUGUUCAAUUGUAGUGUUGCCAUGGGUCUGUGUUGGUCAUCCUGGUGUGUUGCGAGUCUGGUGUCCGGCGGUGUUUGUGAAUCUGUAUACAGGUAACUCGAUUUACACGUGUUUGGUUUACGCGUUUUUGAAAUACCGCGUGGUCCGAAAUCCAAAGAAAUGUUUAAUUUACACGUUUUUUUUCACUUAUACGCGAUAUUUUAUUUAGUGUCCACCAGAUGUCUCACGCAACUGGACUCACACGGCCACACAGCUGAGCUCAGAUCUUCCCGCGCGCCACUUGAACAACAAUACAGUACCCACGCUGCUCAACAACAACAACAACAACACCCUCGCUGCUGUGCUACCACGAGGGGAAGGGCAGCCAGGGGAGGAACCACGAGAGGGAGAGGAGUCCGAGUGAUACAGUAGGCAAUACAAACCUGCCUCUUGUUGGAUUUACAUUGGUUUUGAUGUACGCGACCUCUUCAAGGACACAAGACUCGCCUGAAUCCAGAGUUACCUGUAUAAUGAAUGCCAGCCAUACAGGACACAGUCGCCAGUCUCAGUAACAUCACCAAAAAUAACAAAAACAGUCAAUUAUAGAUGAUUUUGAGUUAAGAAUUCUUAGUAGUGUCAUAAACUGUUCUGUUAAUUUACAAGCUUGCUGAUUAUAUUUAUUAACCGUGUAGCAGUGAUGGGCCAAAUUUGUGGCUUUACCGUGUAGCAGUGAUGGGCCAAAUUUGUGGCUUUACCGUGUAGCAGCGACGGGCCAAAUUUGUGGCUGUACCGUGUAGCAGCGACGGGCCAAAUUUGUGGCUUUACCGUGUAGCAGCGACGGGCCAAAUUUGUGGCUUUACCGUGUAGCAGCGACGGGCCAAAUUUGUGGCUUCACCGUGUAGCAGCGACGGGCCAAAUUUGUGGCUUUACCGUGUAGCAGCGACGGGCCAAAUUUGUGCCAUGAUAUAAACCCCAAAAAUAGAUGAUACAUAAACUGACCACAAAUGCUUUGAUAUGUAUUAUGAAAUGGUUUGUGUGAGGGGUGAUUUUUUCUCAUUUUUCUCGCUUGGAGGGACCAUUAAGAAACAUGGUCCCAGAUGCUUCCAACACUGGGUUAACCACACAACACACACGUCACGGGACACCAGACUGAUAGCACACAAUGACCCACACCCCAGGACCUAUUUGCACACCUUCCUCCCGUCCCGUAUCCCACCCCAAUCUCUCUCUCUCAUAACCCGACCCUUUCUCUCUAAAACCACACACAGUUUCAGGUCAAUAAAUUUCAAGUUUUUUAGCUAUUCCAUGUUAUCUUAGCGUACAGGACAUCUUAUAAAGGCAAUGAUAUUAUAGUAAUCUUAGGUCACACACGCACACACACACACACACUCGCUCGCUCGCUCGCUCGCUCUCAUUCCCUUAGAGUUAUAAUAUAUCUUUACAAGUGCUUUUAAAUAUAUAGUGUUUCUUAAUGUCUGUUUUUUCCGAUCAUUUUCUCUCGUUUUCUCUCAUUUUCUCUCAUUACUAAAAUAUGGACUUUGCAUUUUCUUCCACUAUCUCUAAUUUUCUCUCUUUUUCUCUCUUUCUUUCUCUCUUUUUCCGACACGAACACAAUUUUUUCACUGGUUUUUUUUUUUCUUUCUUUUCCCACACACACACACACACACACACACACACACACACACACACACACACACAC